rnacentral:rRNA from 1 species
UGGGGAAUAUUGGACAAUGGGCGCAAGCCUGAUCCAGCAAUGCCGCGUGGGUGAAGAAGGCCUUCGGGUUGUAAAGCCCUUUUGUACGGGAAGAAAACCUGUUCGUUAAUACCGGACGGGAAUGACGGUACCGUAAGAAUAAGCACCGGCUAACUUCGUGCCAGCAGCCGCGGUAAUACGAAGGGGGCAAGCGUUGUUCGGAAUUACUGGGCGUAAAGGGCGCGUAGGCGGCUUAUCAAGUCAGGCGUGAAAUUCCCGGGCUCAACCUGGGGGCUGCGCUUGAUACUGAUGAGCUUGAAUGCGGGAGAGGAUAGUGGAAUUCCCAGUGUAGAGGUGAAAUUCGUAGAUAUUGGGAAGAACACCGGUGGCGAAGGCGGCUAUCUGGCCCGUAAUUGACGCUGAGGCGCGAAAGCGUGGGGAGCAAA